UGGAAGGUGUGGCCAGCGGGCGCGGGAAGACGGACCGUGGGAACUGUGGUGGGGUUAACUGGGUUUAAGGGGCGAGUGGGCGGGCGACCAAGUCCGGGGGGAAAUCUUUCGGCUCAACCGGAAGAGUGCCUUGGAUACGGGUUGCCUCGAGGGAGGUAGGGGCAGGCGGAACUUCCGGUGGAGCGGUGAAAUGCGUAGAUAUCGGAAGGAACGCCGGUGGCGAAAGCGGCGUGCUGGACCUCUUCUGACGCUGAGGCGCGAAAGCCAGGGGAGCGAACGGGAUUAGAUACCCGAGUAGUC
rnacentral:rRNA from 1 species